rnacentral:rRNA from 1 species
UACGUAGGGGGCAAGCGUUAUCCGGAAUUAUUGGGCGUAAAGAGUGCGUAGGUGGUUACCUAAGCGCAAGGUUUAAUCUUGGGGCUCAACCCCAUUCUGCCUUGCGAACUGGGCUACUUGAGUGCUGGAGGGGAAAGCGGAAUUCCCAGUGUAGCGGUGAAAUCCGUAGAUAUUGGGAAGAACACCGGUGGCGAGGGCAGCUUUCUGGACAGUAACUGACACUGAGGCACGAAAGCGUGGGGAGCAAACA